rnacentral:rRNA from 1 species
AGUGAACGCUGGCGGUAGGCCUAACACAUGCAAGUCGAACGGCAGCACAGGAGAGCUUGCUCUCUGGGUGGCGAGUGGCGGACGGGUGAGGAAUACAUCGGAAUCUACCUUUUCGUGGGGGAUAACGUAGGGAAACUUACGCUAAUACCGCAUACGACCUACGGGUGAAAGUGGGGGACCGCAAGGCCUCACGCGAUUAGAUGAGCCGAUGUCCGAUUAGCUAGUUGGCGGGGUAAUGGCCCACCAGGGCGACGAUCGGUAGCUGGUCUGAGGGGAUGAUCAGCCACACUGGAACUGAGACACGGUCCAGACUCCUACGGGAGGCAGCAGUGGGGAAUAUUGGACAGUGGGCGCAAGCCUGAUCCAGCCAUACCGCGUGGGUGAAGAAGGCCUUCGGGUUGUAAAGCCCUUUUGUUGGGAAAGAAAUCCUGUCGAUUAAUACUCGGUGGGGAUGACGGUACCCAAAGAAUAAGCACCGGCUAACUUCGUGCCAGCAGCCGCAGUAAAAC